GGUGCCUCCUUUCCUUUCUACAUAGACACAGUGACAGUCUGAUCUCUCUUUCUUUUCCCUACAGAUGGACACGCCCCCACUGAUAUUGUUUUUAAUGCAGCGUGGGAGGGGAGGAUAUGACACGCGAUAUCGCAGCUGAGUGCCACGUGCUGACGUCACUAAGAUCAAUACAGCAAACUCUGAAAGAUGGACAGAGAGACAGGAGAUGGUCCUUUAUAAUGCAGUGUGAUCUGUGCUGCAAUAGAGGUGAGCACAAGGGCCUUACGAAGGUUCAGUGAAGAGCAUGCUUGACUGCAGGGGAGG
rnacentral:lncRNA from 1 species